rnacentral:rRNA from 1 species
GACGAACGCUGGCGGCGUGCUUAACACAUGCAAGUCGAACGGAAAGGCCCUGCUUUUGUGGGGUGCUCGAGUGGCGAACGGGUGAGUAACACGUGAGUAACCUGCCCUUGACUUUGGGAUAACUUCAGGAAACUGGGGCUAAUACCGGAUAGGAGCUCCUGCUGCUUGGUGUGGGUUGGAAAGUUUCGGCGGUUGGGGAGGGACUCGCGGCUUAUCAGCUUGUGGUUGGGGUAGUGGCUUACCAAGGCUUGGACGGGUAGCCGGCCUGAGAGGGUGACCGGCCACAUUGGGAAUGGGAUACGGCCGAGACUCCUACGGGAGGCAGGAGGGGGGAAUAUUGCACAAUGGGCGGAAGCGUGAUGCAGCAACGCCGCGUGCGGGAUGACGGCCUUCGGGUUGUAAACCGCUUUCGCCUGUGACGAAGCGUGGGUGACGGUAAUGGGUAAAGAAGCACCGGCUAACUACGU